GUCCCUGUAACGCAAUGGAUAGCGUGUUGGACUUCUAAUCCAAAGGUAGAAGGCUCCAAUCCUACCUGGGAUG